rnacentral:rRNA from 1 species
CCCUUAGAUGUUCUGGGCCGCACGCGCGCUACACUGAUGCAUUCAACGAGUCUAGCCUUGACCGAGAGGUCCGGGUAAUCUUUGAAACUGCAUCGUGAUGGGGCUAGAUUAUUGCAAUUAUUAAUCUUCAACGAGGAAUGCCUAGUAAGCGUGAUUCAUCAAAUCGCGUUGAUUACGUCCCUGCCCUUUGUACACACCGCCCGUCGCUCCUACCGAUUGAGUGUGUUGGUGAGGAGUUCGGAUUGGCUCUUAGUGGUGGUUCGCCACCACCUAGAGCUGAGAAGUUCUCCAAACCGCCCCACUUAGAGGAAGGAGAAGUCGUAACA